rnacentral:rRNA from 1 species
UACGUAGGGACCAAGCGUUGUCCGGAUUGACUGGGCGUAAAGCGCACGCAGGCGGAUGCGCGCGUGGGGUGUGAAAUCUGGCCGCUUAACGGCCAGGCGCCAUCCCAUACGGCGCGUCUGGAGUGAUGCAGAGGUCGGUGGAAUUGCCGGUGUAGUGGUGAAAUGCGUAGAGAUCGGCAGGAACACCCAGGGGGGAAACCAGCCGACUGGGCAUCUACUGACGCUGAGGUGCGAGAGCGUGGGGAGCGAACCGG